UUGUCUUAUCUCCUCUACCCUUCUGCUUUUACAUCUCUCUCUCUUCAUUCCUAGCUGCCACUCUUUGCCUCUCUUCAAGGCCACACAAAUGAUAUUAUAAGGGAGCUCAUCAAAGCUUAACUAUGCUAUAUAUAUAUAUGUAGUUCUACAAUAUAGUGGGGAAAACAAGAGCUACACACUGCUUUCUCUCUGAAAUUCUGCUGUUACCAUCUGCAAAUUUUGUUAUUCUCUCUGCUUUUCAGCUGGUUUGGGAAGCUCAAAACUUAAGGGACCACACCAAGUCUGGUAGUAGUACUCGUCUACUGUUGAUAUGCCUAGCUAUGCUUGCCUGGCUCCCUGAAUGCCAUCUAAGAAGCUUGUCAAAGAGUGUUGGCAACCUUCCUACUUGGCAUGAGGGGAGUCACGCAGGCCCAAAUGUGAUGAUUAUUGAUAGUACUUAUAUGUAAAUGCCUCUUGCAAUCCUUUGUAAGCAUCAUCCUCUAUAUAUGUACUUUUUGUCUUUAAUUCA